rnacentral:rRNA from 1 species
CGGUUAGCUCUCCAAACUCGGUCAUUUAGAGGAAGUAAAAGUCGUAACAUGGUCUCCGUUGGUGAACCAGCGGAGGGAUCAUUACCGAGUUUACAACUCCCAAACCCCUGUGAACAUACCAAUUGUUGCCUCGGCGGAUCAGCCCGCUCCCGGUAAAACGGGACGGCCCGCCAGAGGACCCCUAAACUCUGUUUCUAUAUGUAACUUCUGAGUAAAACCAUAAAUAAAUCAAAACUUUCAACAACGGAUCUCUUGGUUCUGGCAUCGAUGAAGAACGCAGCAAAAUGCGAUAAGUAAUGUGAAUUGCAGAAUUCAGUGAAUCAUCGAAUCUUUGAACGCACAUUGCGCCCGCCAGUAUUCUGGCGGGCAUGCCUGUUCGAGCGUCAUUUCAACCCUCAAGCCCAGCUUGGUGUUGGGACUCGCGAGUUAAAUCGCGUUCCCCAAAUUGAUUGGCGGUCACGUCGAGCUUCCAUAGCGUAGUAGUAAAACCCUCGUUACUGGUAAUCGUCGCGGCCACGCCGUUAAACCCCAACUUCUGAAUGUUGACCUCGGAUCAGGUAGGAAUACCCGCUGAACUUAAGCAUAUCAAUAAGCGGAGGA